rnacentral:rRNA from 1 species
AACGAACGCUGGCGGCAUGCCUAACACAUGCAAGUCGAACGAAGCCUUCGGGCUUAGUGGCGCACGGGUGCGUAACGCGUGGGAAUUUGCCCCUUGCUUCGGUAUACUAGUUAGAAAUGACUGCUAAUACCGGUUGAAGUCUUCGGACCAAAGAUCUAUGGGUAUGGGAUGAGCCCGCGUAGGAUUAGGUGGUUGGUGGGGUACAGGCCUACCAAGCCGGCGAUCCUUAGCUGGUCUGGUAGGAUGAUCAACCGCACUGGACCUGAGACACGGACCAGAAUGCGACGGAGGGGAGCGGUAGAGAAUAUUAGGCGAUGAACGCUGGUCUAAUACAGCAGUGCGGCGGAAGAGAUGAAGGGGUUAGGGUUGUGAAGCUGUUUGACAAGAAGUGUGAGUGACAGUACCGGGAGAAGAAGCUCCGGCUAACUCCGUG